UACGUAGGGGCCGAGCGUUGUCCGGAUUCAUUGGGCGUAAAGGGUGCGUAGGCGGCGCGGUAAGUCGGAUGUGAAAUCUCGGAGCUUAACUUCGAAACUGCAUUCGAUACUGCCGUGCUUGAGGACUGGAGAGGAGACUGGAAUUUACGGUGUAGCGGUGAAAUGCGUAGAUAUCGUAAGGAAGACCAGUGGCGAAGGCGGGUCUCUGGACAGUUCCUGACGCUGAGGCACGAAGGCCAGGGGAGCAAACGGG
rnacentral:rRNA from 1 species